GUGGGGAAUUUUGGACAAUGGGCGAAAGCCUGAUCCAGCAAUGCCGCGUGUGUGAAGAAGGCCUUCGGGUUGUAAAGCACUUUAAGCGAGGAGGAGGCUACCGAGAUUAAUACUCUUGGAUAGUGGACGUUACUCGCAGAAUAAGCACCGGCUAACUCUGUGCCAGCAGCCGCGGUAAUACAGAGGGUGCAAGCGUUAAUCGGAUUUACUGGGCGUAAAGCGCGCGUAGGUGGCCAAUUAAGUCAAAUGUGAAAUCCCCGAGCUUAACUUGGGAAUUGCAUUCGAUACUGGUUGGCUAGAGUAUGGGAGAGGAUGGUAGAAUUCCAGGUGUAGCGGUGAAAUGCGUAGAGAUCUGGAGGAAUACCGAUGGCGAAGGCAGCCAUCUGGCCUAAUACUGACACUGAGGUGCGAAAGCAUGGGGAGCAAACAGGAUUAGAAACCCCAGUAGUCC
rnacentral:rRNA from 1 species